ensembl:lncRNA
AAGAGAUUCAGAAAGGCUAAAUGACUCUCCAAAGGUGAAACCAUUUCCUCUCUGCACUUGCAGACUUGAUCCCAUUCACAUAUCCUGAGAUGAGAUCUUGCUUAGUAAUGGAAUAUGUUUAUGGAAGGCCCCUGAAUGAAGAAGCCUUUACCUAAUAAUGAUGUUCACUGCCCAAAUUGCUUAUGCUUUCACCUGGCUUACCUAUGUACUUUAAUGACCUUUCCCCUAAUUGCACCCACCUGAGUCUUCUACCAUGGAUUGGGUUGGUAGUUUCCACCAGGAAAAGGCUUGGCAGCUGAGUUGAUAAGUAAUCCUCUGAGUGUGUUGGGUUGAAGUGUGGAACAUGAGCUUCGGAAAAACAGCAAGUCUUCUCUGCCCCUCCCUGACCUUCCCUCACCACCACUAUGUCUUACAAGCCAAGUGGCUUGCAGGUUGGAAGGGGUGAUGCACGGCGCAGAGCCCCAGAGAGAGGCUUUCCCAAUGACAGUCAUGCAAGAGGUUCAUCCAUCCAUCACCACAGUCAAGCUUCAGAACAGUUCUAUCACCACAAGGUGAUGGAGCUUCCUCCAGUACAUACUCUCUGCCAAGGCCAAGCCCAAAUCACAGCCCAUACUCAGACAAAGCAAAAGACUCCAGAGAAAAAAGUGGUGUCAGUCUCAGCGCAAUGAAGAACAGCUCUUCCUUCUACAGAAUUUUGGUUCAUCUAAUCAUCUUUGUUUCCACAGCUCUCUGAUGUCUUCAAAAAAGUAUGAUUUGGUAGUUUAUCAAGGUAUUUCUAGUUAUUACAAAGAGUGAUGCUCUUCUACUACUUAUGAUAUACUGCCCUGAGUUGGAUAUUCUACUUUAUACUACUACUUUUCUUUUUCCCCAUCAAAUUGCCUUGGAAAAAAUCGAAUAAUCACAUAAAUGUAAGUCCAUUUAUGGUCUCCAUUUUUCUGUUCCAUUGAUACAUGCCUGUACUUCUUCCAUUACUACAUGUUGAAAAUAUUGUAGGCUAUUGUAUGUCUUUAAAUAAGGCAAUAAAUCCUCCAAAUGUGUUUUUCUUCUUUAAGAUUGUAUUGCUUAUUCCAGAUUUUUUCCAUAUGAAUGAUAGAAUAAGUUUGUCAAUAUCUAGCAGAAAAACCUGUAGAGAUUUUGACUGUGAUUAUAUUUCACUUAUAUAUCAGUUUGAGAAGAAACAACUUCUUAACAAUAUAAUGUCUUCCAAUUCAUUAGCAUGCCUUAUUUCUCCGUUACUUAGAUUACCUUUAAUUUCUUCCAGUAAAGUUUUUUACUUUCUGUGUAGAGGUCUUUCAAGUCUCUUGUUAAAUGUAUUCCUAAGUAUUUUAUGUUUCUUUUAAUGCUAUUAUAAAAUAAAUUGUUUUAAAUAUCAUUUUCCAAUGGUUUGCUAUGAAAAUAUAAAAACUAAAUUGAUUUUUGUGUUGACCUUGUAUGUUGUGACUUUGUAGAAUUCAUUUAUUGGUUUUAAAGUGGCUUUAUUUUCAUAAUAUUCUACACAAUCUUAUCAUCUGUGUAAAAAAAGAAUUUUGCUUCUCCUUUUCCAAACUUAGUGCCUUUUAUUUCAUCAUCUUGCUUUAUUGUAUUAAGAUCUACAAUACUAUGUUUAAUAAAUGAGUGAGAGCAGACAACCUUGCCUUCUUAAAAUCCUAAGGAGAAAGCAUACAUUUUUCACCAUUAAGUAUAAUAAAUCUGCAGAGUUUUCAUGAAUAUCCAUUUGUUGCUUGCUAGACAUUUUUUGGCCAUAAAUAG